rnacentral:rRNA from 1 species
UACGAAGGGGGCUAGCGUUGUUCGGAAUUACUGGGCGUAAAGCGCACGUAGGCGGACUACUAAGUCAGGGGUGAAAUCCCGGGGCUCAACCCCGGAACUGCCUUUGAUACUGAUAGUCUCGAGUCCGGAAGAGGUGAGUGGAAUUCCGAGUGUAGAGGUGAAAUUCGUAGAUAUUCGGCAAGAACACCAGUGGCGAAGGCGGCUCACUGGCCCGGUACUGACGCUGAGGUGCGAAAGCGUGGGGAGCAAACAGG